ensembl:lncRNA
GAUUGAUUGUAUUUCCAAGCAAAUGGUAUUGUAUCACCAGCUGCCAAAGGUAACAACUGAAUGAAGUGUGAAACAACAUGAAUCAAAAGCUGUAGCAGGUGGAAGCCUGUUCACAGCACUGAGUGAUAGAAGUGAAGCUUCUUCUUCCACUUUGCACAUUUCUAAUGUGGAUUUCACAAUUCAAGGAAAAAAAUUAGCAAGAAAAAAUUAAUGUUCUCGCAUUUUUUCCCAAAUAUGCUUUUGUGUAACCUCAUUAUGCAGUCUGUACGCAUCUCACUUUUGCCAAAUGCAUCUUAUAUCCAAGCAUUCUCCAAUAGCGUGAAUUAAGAAUUAAAUUCUCAUUUCAAAAUAAAAGCUUCUAUUUUAUUUUCCUCUUUACUUGAAAGUAGAGAAAGAGGAGGUAGGAGGGGAAGCUUUGGGAGAGGAUUUUGAGCCACAUAAAGAACAUGGUCACGUUCACCUGGUUGCCCUUAUUGUACAGAAGAGGACAGUGUAAGCUAAAGGAGGCGAGACCUCAAAAAACACAGAAGAUGUAGAUGUGUAGCAGUUGCGGCUGAACUUUGUUGUGGAUCAUUCCAAAGGGGUUUCUACUCUCUUGUGAUCCACCCCUUCCCUGUGGUUACACAUCCUGCAGAAGACCCUUCUGGUGGAGACUGACCACUAGGUGGCACUGUGCACGCUGGGCUAGUUUUCCCAGUAAAAUAUCCUCAGGCCAGCUCCAGAUGGCUUCUGUGGACAGGUCUUUCUCAGGCCGGCUACAUCAUAAUUUUUCUUCAAAAUCUAUAAACUCAGCCAAUUUUAAGAACUAUCUCAUUUUUAUCAGAAAAGAAAUAAUUUCCAUUUGUAAUGUGGAUAUUUUUUGGAAAUAGUCCUUUGCUAAUUUGUAAAGCUAGGCCAGCCUCUAGGGAUUUUCAAGGUGCCCGUGACAGGUAAGCUAUGAACUGCAGCUGCAGAACAAGUAUGGACAGUGUAUAGUGCAUGGAAGUGCUUCAAGAGACCCAAGACAAAAUGAAAGCCUCUGGAACAAACCACAGCCAACACCUCAGCCUUUGUUGAACUUGUUUCUCAGGACCAACUUGGCAAAAGAAGCAGAACCUCCAGAGGUAAGUUGUUUUGUUUUGUUUGUCUUUUGUCCAUUUUUUUUAGGGCCGCACACACAGCAUAUGGAGGUUCCCAGGCUAGGGGUCCAAUUGAAGCUGUAGCCACCGGCCUACGCCAGAGCCAAAGCAAUCCCAAAUCCGAGCUUUGUCUGUGACCUAUCCCACAGCUCACAGCAACGCCAGAUCCUUAACCCACUGAGUGAGGCCCGGGAUCAAACCCGCAACCUCAUGGUUUCUAGUCAGAUUCAUUCCCGCUGCGCCACAACGGGAACUCCCAGAGUUAUGUCUUUGAGACUGUAAGAAACAUCAACUAAAUCAUCAAGCAGCAGGCCCUGACCCCUUCAUCCUGAACCUCCCAGAUUCCAAGUAGCCCUCAGCUGGGAAUUGUCAUGUCUAACUAAUCAUCAGCACCAUCACCUCCCACCCAGCGUCCAUGGAGUGGCCACAGCAACAUUGUCACUGACAAUGGUAGCAUCCUGAAAACAAGUCUUCCCAUCUGGGAGAGGAAGACCAGAAUUAUAAGACAAGAACCACUGAUACACUUGGGUCCCAUGACCUGGAAACCACCCUGAGGAAGCUAUUUGCUGGGAGAAUUACCUCUUAGAAAGGAGGUUCUUUGGGUAGGAGCAGGAUC